AACGAACGCUGGCGGCAUGCCUAACACAUGCAAGUCGAACGAGACCUUCGGGUCUAGUGGCGCACGGGGGCGUAACGCGUGGGAACCUGCCCUUAGGUUCGGAAUACCUCCCCGAAAGGGGUGCUAAUACCGGAUAAUGUCUUCGGACCAAAGAUUUAUCGCCGUUGGCUGGGCCCGCGUUGGCUUAGCUGGUUGGUAGGGUAAAAGCCGACCAAGGGCACGAUCCAUAGCUGGUCUGAGAGGAUGAUCCGCCACACUGGGACUGCGACACGGCCCAGACUCCUACGGGAGGGUGCAGUAGAUAAUAUUGGACACGGGGCGAAGGCCUGAUCCAGCCAUGCCCGGUAAGUGAUGAAGGGCUUAGGGUUGUAAAGCUCUUUUACCCGGGAUGAUAAUGACAGUACCGGGAGAAUAAGCUCCGGCUAACUCCGUG
rnacentral:rRNA from 1 species